rnacentral:miRNA from 1 species
UGACGAUGAGAGAGAGCACG